rnacentral:rRNA from 1 species
CCUACGGGUGGCAGCAGUGGGGGAUAUUGCACAAUGGGGGAAACCCUGAUGCAGCGACGCCGCGUGAGGGAAGAAGUUUUUCGGAUUGUAAACCUCUAUCAGCAGGGAAGAAAAUGCCCGUACCUGACCAACAAGCCCCGGCUAACUACGUGCCAGCAGCCGCGGUAAUACGUAGGGCGCGAGCGUUAUCAGGAUUUACUGGGUGUAAAGGGAGCGUAGGCGGGUGUGUAAGUCAGGGGUGAAAGCCGGGGGCUCAACCCUGAGACUGCUUUGGAAACUGGGUAACUGGAGUACAGGAGAGGUAGGCGGAAUUCCUGGUGUAGCGGUGAAAUGCGUAGAUAUCAGGAGGAACACCGGUGGCGAAGGCGGCCUACUGGACUGAAACUGACGCUGAGGCUCGAAAGCGUGGGGAGCAAACAGGAUUAGAUACCCCAGUAGUC